rnacentral:rRNA from 1 species
AAGUCGAGCGGAAACGAGUUAACUGAACCUUCGGGGCAACGCUUAACGGCGUCGAGCGGCGGACGGGUGAGUAAUGCCUGGGAAAUUGCCCUGAUGUGGGGGAUAACCAUUGGAAACGAUGGCUAAUACCGCAUAAUGACUUCGGGCCAAAGAGGGGGACCUUCGGGCCUCUCGCGUCAGGAUAUGCCCAGGCGGGAUUAGCUAGNUGGUGAGGUAAUGGCUCACCAAGGCGACGAUCGCUAGCUGAUCUGAGAGGAUGAUGAGUCCACACUGGAACUGAGACACGGUCCAGACUCCUACGGGAGGCAGCAGCGGGGAAUAUUGCACAAUGGGCGCAAGCCUGAUGGAGCCAUGCCGCGUGUAUGAAGAAGGACUUCGGGUUGUAUAGUACUUUUCAGUCGUGAGGAA